ensembl:lncRNA
AUGAGUUUGUCUUUCUGUGUCGGACCAGGAUCCAGCAGCUCUGACCCGACCCGGGUUACCGGGCCCGCCCCGACCCGCCCACCUCCAAACCCCAGAGGGAUGAGGAGACACGAGGCUGAGAAGCUCCGCCUCCUCCUGGUGUCGUCAGGUCGUUUGAUUGAACCCGACGGCCGAGUCCGACCUCAGGUCCAGGAACGACAGACCCCGUCCUGGUGGUGGAGCGGUGGGCCAGCUCUGCCUCGUCAGGGUGCUGGACGGUUUAAGGUGAUCCGAAUGUGAAGUCUGGAAUUCAACGUUACAGAAAAGUGAAAAAGUUUCAAAUCCUUGAAAAUCAUUUUCUUCAGUUUUUCAUGAAAUUUUCAUUUUUCGUUGUAAAAUUGAACUUUUUAACAUGGAAGUGGUCUGUCCUGAAACCAGCCCCCCAGUGGUCUGUGGAGGAACAGCAACUGUUGGUUUGGGAGUCUGAGUCAGACCAAGUAAAUGCACCCAAUCAGACAUUUCUAUUAAAAGGUUUGAUUAAAAUAAAUCGAGGGAAUGUAGUGCUGCCGCAAACGAUUAUUUUAAUAGUCGACUAAUCACCGAUUAUUUUUUCCGAUUAGUUGACUAAUCAGGUCAUGCGCAAACUGGAUGUAAAUCUUAACAAUCAUUAGCUUUAAAUGAGCUGAAUUUGGCAGCUGAAGAUGUUAGUGCUAUAGCUGAAAUCACUGAAGCUAAUAGAGGAAAACGCUGAAGCUGAUAACCAAGUUAAAUGCCCAAUUAGCCUAAAAAACUGAAAAAUAAAACAAAGUUAGCCAAAUAAGCUAGCAUGCAGCUAAUAUAUUAUCUAAACUCCAAAUUAAACAAAAAAACUGAAAAAAUCUUAAAUUAGCCAAAAUAACUAGCAUGUAGCUGAAAACUUAGCCACAUGCUAACUACAAAAUUAGCCUAAAAAAUUAAUAGAUUAACGAAAAUAGCCAGCAUAUAGCUGAAAAAUUAGCUGAACUCCAAAUUGAUCUAAAAAAACAAAAAAAAAGCCUAAAUUAGCCAAACAGCUAGCAUGCAGCUGAAAUAUUAGCUAAACUCCAAAUUAGCCAACACAACUAAAGAAAAACCAAGUAAUACAAAACAGCCACCAUGCAGCUGAAAUAUUGGCUAAUCGCAAAAUUAGCCUAAAAACUGAAAAAUUAACCGAAAUAGUUAGGAUGUAGCCGAAAUAUUAGCUUAGCUCCAAAUUAAGCUAAAAAACUGAAAAAAGCCUAAAUCAGCCAAAACAGAUGGCAUGCAGCUGAAAUAUUAGCUAAACUCUAAAUUAGCCUAGAAAAACUAAGUUAGCUUAAAAAGCUAUCAUGCAGCUAAAAUGUUAGCUAAUCACAAAAUUAGCCUAAAAAACUGAAAAAUUCAUAAAUUAACCGAAAUAGUUAGCAUAUAGCUUAAAUACUAGCUUAGCUCCAAAUUAACCUAAAAAACUAAAAAUUCCUUAAUUAGCCAAAAUAGCUAGCAUGUAGCUGAAAACUUAGCUAAAGUCCUAAAUAGCCUAAAAAGCCUUAAUAAAUGCCAAAAUAGUCCAAAAAGCUAACAGAACGCCAUUAUAACUGUCAACUUUACUACAUUCUGACUCCAUAUAAUAAAUAGUAACGACUAAUCGACUAUUAAAUUAGUCGACGACUAAUUUAAUAGUCGAUUAGUCAACUAAUCGUGGCAGCCCUAAUGGAAUGAGAAGAGGAGGGCCUGAACCUGCUGACCUGUGCAUCAAAUAAACUGGCUCCAUCUUUAGGUCAGCUGACCCCACAGAGGGGGCGUGACCUCUGACCUCUCACGUCUCCUGUUUAAAAAUAAGCUGCAGCUGGACGUUUGUGUCACGGAAAGAAAUCUGUUUCUGAAAACUUGAAAAACACGCUUAGUCACAAACGUAUUUACUGAAAAAAUCCAAAACAGCCUAAAAAAAGUAGAAGUCAAUGUCAAAAUAGUCCAAAAAGUUAGUGGAAUGACAAUUUUUAAAACCUUUUAACAUAAGUAUGAAUAAUAAAAGGCAGGAAUAUUAUUCUAGAAUAAAUCAACUUAAACUUUUAAUAAUUUUUUAUAUUUUACUCUCUAUAAAAAUAUAUUUUGUCAAAAUGAUACAAGUUAGAAAUGAGAACAAGAUAACAUCGGAUCAUUUAUAUGAUUAAAUGAUCUGGAGGGCCGGAUCCGGCCCCCGGGCCUUGACUUUGACACAUGUGGAUUAGAAGGAACUGAGAAGAUUAAAAUUUGGACAGAUUAAAAACGUACAAAUAAUAAACAAUAAAAGCCAAAAACAAAUGAAUUAAUGAAACGUCAUCUUUCCUCCCAGACAGAAUUCUGAUCAUUUCCCGCGUGUUUUCUAUAAAUAUCCCGCUAAAAACGCUCGGUGGAAAUGUACUGAAACGGGGGGGAUCCCGCGUGCGUGGCUCCGCGGGGCGCGCGUGUUUGUGAUCGGAUCAGCUGGGUCGGCCGGGGCGCCUCCUCCUCCCCCCACCUGCGCCAAUGAGAAGACGCGGGGGGAGGGGCCCCGCGGGUAAAAAGGCUCCGGCUCGCGCGCCGCCUCCCCGACUCCGCUCGCGCUCGGACAGGACCAGACGCCCCCCCGCGCGGCAGCAGCA